UCUGCCCCUUCCCUGCUCAUGCUUGUUCUCUCUCUCAAAAUAAACAUUUAAAAAAUUAAAAAAAAAAAGAACUAGAAUUGGGUCAUUUCAUCUGAGAGGUUCAAACUUUAUAAUGUAACAGCUAUCACAGAAGGCAGGAGUAAAGAAUAGGUCUGAGAACAGGAAGGUGGUAACUGAAACUUUGUCUACAGAGCAUGCACCACAAGCAGAAAAACCACCUAGCCCAACAAGGAGAUAGCAGAUUUCUCUGCCCAGCAAUCUCACUUCUGGGUACAUAUCCAAAGGAAAUGAAAAAAGGAUCUCGAAGAGUUAUCUUCACUCUCAUUUUCAUUACAGCAUUAUUCACAGUAGCCAAGAUGUGGAUACCUAAGUGUCUGUCAAUGGAUGAAUGAAUAAGGAAGAUGUGGUGUGUGUGUAUAUAUGUGUACAGUAGAAUAUUAUUUAGCCAUGAGAAAGAAGGAAAUCCUACCAUUUGCAACAACAACACGGAUAGAUCCUGAGGGCAUGAUGCUAAGAAAUAAAGGUUAAAAAAAAAAUUAUAGAUGAUGCAUUGCAGGGGCAAAGAAAGGCAUGACAGUCAUCAAUGGACACAAUUUCAAAGAAAUGGAAUUGGCACCAUGUCAAAAAAAUUGGUGAAUCUACAGUUACACAUAUUAAGUGAAACUAAAAUGUAUAAGGUAUGUAUCUUUUCUUGAUUUCCCAAUUUACAAUGUAAUCUUUGACCAACUAUUUGUCUAAAAGAGUCUACUGUACAACUGACCCUUGAACAACACAGGCUUAAACUGCAUAGGUCCACUUAUAUGUGGAUUUUUUUUGUCAUAAAUAUACUACAACAAAAGAAAAUUACAGUACUACAAAUAUAUUUUCUCUUAUGAUUUUCUUAACAUUUCCUCUUUCCCACAUUUACUAUAAGAACACAGUAUAUAAUAAAUUUACAAAAUAUGUGUUAACUGGACAGUUUAUGUUCUUGGUAAAGCUUCUGGUCAACAGUAGGCUGUUAGUAGUUAAGUUUUGGGGGAGUCCAAAGUUACAUGCAGAUUUUUUACUAUGUGGGGGAUCAGUGCCCCUAACCCCUACAUUGUUCAAAGAUCAACUGUAAUUAUAUUCAACUUGUAUUAUAUAGUAUUUAUUAAUUGAUCUAAGCUUGCUAGCUUGACAUAUAUUGGCAGGUUUAUACCAGGGAUCUGUAGUUGGAGGUCAGGAGUUUAUGGAUUAGGUUAGCCACACUCCAGGGUUAUAUGGACCACAAUUAGUUUAACGUGCCUCCAGGAAGUAUGGAAUCAGUGGUAACUAGUUACCUUGCCAAAUGGUGAUUUCACUAAAUUCUUGUCACAGAACUGAAACAUCCUAGUUUUCUCUGGAGUAAUAGGAUGUGGAUAGACUUAUAUCACUGGGUUUCAUCAAUAACUCCAGAAAAGUUUGAGUUUUAAGCACAGGAAACAUCAAACUAUUGUUUUGAUAUCUGCAUAUAAGAGACCAUAUAAUAAUGACUCUGUGCGUAUGGGAGAGAGACAAAAAGAGAGAAGGAACCCACCCAGUUACUUUUUCCCAUGUUUGCAGAACACCACUUUGAGGGUGGAGAACUGUAACUUUUUGGGAAGUUGCCCAGGGGCUAUGAGAGAAGGUUAUAAGGCAUUGACUCCAUAGAAGAGUUCCCAAAUCAACAAUUCUGGACAUUAGCUGAACAAAAAGUUACCAUUCAGCUCCAGUGAAUGGUAGGCUUCUGGCAAUCUUGAGAACCACCUGUUAGAGAACAGUGAACAACUCUAUAGCCCACCUGCCAUUCAAACUCAGGGUUUAGGAGUUAACAGAUUUUCCUAGAAAGGCUGAUCAUCAAUCAUUUGUACAGUUGCCUGCUCACAGCAAAAGACCUGUAUAAUUUUCUGUAAUUUUCUUUUGUUGUAGCAUAUUUGUAAAAAAAAGUCCACAUAUGAGCAAUAUGUGUUUGACAAUUUGCAAUCAAAUUUCGGCUCUAUCACUGAUCUUGGGUAAAUAAGUUAAUAACCUCUUUGGGCCUGUUUCCUUAUUGAUAAGAAGAGAAUAGUAAUACCUACCUCACAGGCAUGUUGAGAGAAUCAAAUGGAAUCAUGCAUGAGGGUGUAAAAUUGAGGGGGGAGGGGGAAACAACUUGUAGGGAUGACAAAGCUGAUGUCCAGUCUUACUUUUUUUUUUUAAUUUUUUUAAUAUUUAUUUUUGAGAGAGAGAGAGAGAGAGAGAGAGAGAGAUUGGGGGAGGGGCAGAGAGAUGGGGACAGAGGAUCCGAGGAAGGCUCUAAGCUGACAGCAACAAGCCUGAUGUGGGGCUCGAACUCAUAACUAUGAGAUCAUGACCUGAGAUGAAGCUGGAUACUCAACUAACUGAGACACCCAGGCACUCCUGUCCAGUCUUCCUUCUAACCUUACAUUUUAAGUCAACAAUUUGGCUAAGCCUACAGCCUCUGAUAGUCUGCCACUGGAAUGAAAAAUAUUGGGUAAGCAGAUGAUAUCAGAAUACAUCUCUAUUACCCUAUAGGGGACUUCAGUUUUAUAAAGUGAAGUCUUUUUUUCUGCCUAGCCUAUGAUGAAAUUAAUCAGAAAUGAGACUCAGGCCUCUUUGGAUUGAUACCAGGUCUUAUUUACUGGAGUUUAGGUAGCGAACUGGGUAGGAAAACCCUAGGCUUGGGGGCUUAGUUCCCUCAAUGGUGAGAAGUCCCAUCUAGUAGGGGCAGGCAGGGUUGAAGCAGCCAGGAGAGGCCUAUUUUUGGCCUGGAACAAAGAAAAUUUAUGGCUUAAGCCAAAUGUGUUUCUCUGAGAGAGGGUGAGGAGCUCCUUAUUUGGAGACAAUGGCGGCCCCAUGGCAUAAUGCUGGGACACAGCUGGGUGGAGGCCAGGGGGGGAGGGGUGGUGUAGGGGUAUUAAGGAAUUUCUAGAGUUCACCAGUGGGACCCUUUGUACAAACCAUACCUGAAAGGUGGGUAUGUAAAAACAGAGCUUUUCUGAUAUCAUUAGAAAGAGGAAAGAGAGUGCCAAUAGAGGCCUAUACAGGAUUAGUCUCUCUCAACCUUAACUUUGUGCUUUAUACUUACCAGUUACCCCCUCCCUUCACCCCAAUAAAACUUUGCUUUAC